rnacentral:rRNA from 1 species
GUGUCAGCAGCCGCGGUAAUACGGAGGGGGUUAGCGUUGUUCGGAAUUACUGGGCGUAAAGCGCGCGUAGGCGGAUUGGAAAGUUGGGGGUGAAAUCCCGGGGCUCAACCCCGGAACUGCCUCCAAAACUAUCAGUCUAGAGUUCGAGAGAGGUGAGUGGAACUCCGAGUGUAGAGGUGAAAUUCGUAGAUAUUCGGAAGAACACCAGUGGCGAAGGCGGCUCACUGGCUCGAUACUGACGCUGAGGUGCGAAAGUGUGGGGAGCAAACAGGAUUAGAUACCCUGGUAGUCCACACCGUAAACGAUGAAUGCCAGACGUCGGGCAGCAUGCUGUUCGGUGUCACACCUAACGGAUUAAGCAUUCCGCCUGGGGAGUACGGUCGCAAGAUUAAAACUUAAAUGAAUUGACGGGG